rnacentral:rRNA from 1 species
UACAGAGGUCUCAAGCGUUGUUCGGAUUCAUUGGGCGUAAAGGGUGCGUAGGUGGCGCCGUAAGUCGGGUGUGAAAUUUCGGAGCUUAACUCCGAAACUGCAUUCGAUACUGCGGUGCUUGAGGACUGGAGAGGAGACUGGAAUUCAUGGUGUAGCAGUGAAAUGCGUAGAGAUCAUGAGGAAGACCAGUGGCGAAGGCGGGUCUCUGGACAGUUCCUGACACUGCGGCACGAAGGCCAGGGGAGCAAACGGG